rnacentral:sRNA from 1 species
CAGAACGUGAACAUCCUCGCAACGAGCCGUGCACAGGGCUCGUGACGAACGGCUCCCUUC